CCAGGUGGCUGGAUGGCCGCUUCCCAUGGGAUCCCAUGGGGAGAGGAAAGUCCGGGCUCCACGGAAAUACGGUGCCGGGUAACGCCCGGCGGGGGCGACCCCAGGGAAAGUGCCACAGAAAGAAAACCGCCAGCCCAGCGCCGGAGUUCGUCUCCGGAGUCGGCAGGCAAGGGUGAAAGGGUGCGGUAAGAGCGCACCGCGGCUCCGGCAACGGAGACGGCAUGGUAAACCCCACCGGGAGCAAGACCGAAUAGGGGCGGCUUGGCCACAAGCCUAGCGCAUUUCCGCGCCGUCGCCCGGGUUGGUCGCGUGAGGCGUCCGGUAACGGGCGUCCCAGAUGAAUGGUCAUCCACCGUCCCCUUCCGGGAAACCGGAUCGCGGGCGGGGACAGAACCCGGCUUACAGGCCACCUGGCACC
rnacentral:RNase_P_RNA from 1 species